AACGAACGCUGGCGGCAUGCCUAACACAUGCAAGUCGAACGAGACCUUCGGGUCUAGUUGCGCACGGGUGCGUAACGCGUGGGAACCUGCCCUUAGGUUCGGAAUAACUCCCCGAAAGGGGUGCUAAUACCGGAUAAUGUCUUCGGACCAAAGAUUUAUCGCCUUUGGAUGGGCCCGCGUUGGAUUAGCUAGUUGGUAGUGUAAAAGCCUACCAAGGCGACGAUCCAUAGCUGGUCUGAGAGGAUGAUCAGCCACACUGGGACUGAGACACGGCCCAGACUCCUACGGGAGGCAGCAGUGGGGAAUAUUGGACAAUGGGCGAAAGCCUGAUCCAGCAAUGCCGCGUGAGUGAUGAAGGCCUUAGGGUUGUAAAGCUCUUUUACCCGGGAUGAUACUGACAGUACCGGGAGAAUAAGCUCCGGCUAACUCCGUG
rnacentral:rRNA from 1 species